CAUAUAAUUGCUGAAUUGUAUAAUAAGAGUUUGUCUAUUUUUAUAAGAAAUGGCCAAACUGUCUUCCAAAGUUGCUGUACCAUUUUACAUUUCCACCAGCAAU
rnacentral:pre_miRNA from 1 species